AGUGAAGUCUACUGAUAAUUGAAUGGAUGAUGAUGAUGCCACCUCUUUCCGAUAUGUUGUCUUCCUGGUUAAACAUCUUCAGUCGUCUCAGCCAUUCUUCAGUUGGCUGUAAGUCACUCUGUUGGGAAAAUGUUGAUUCUGUCUAUCAGCUCUCCCCUUCUAUGGAAAAGGGUCCUCCUGUUCUCACUCGGUACAUGCCUGUUGUGAGCACUGGGUCCAUGAGCCAGACCUGACUGACCAGUGAGGGGUCUCCAUGUCUUUGUCACCAAAGCAAAGUCCUGCCACUUUACUAACACUGAAGACUCUUGAAAAGAUAAGUUUCUUUCUUUUGAAUUAUGAAUUUUAAGAAUAUAAGCUUGGGCCAAAAUUUAUUUAGCUAGUAUAUUUUGAGGAACUAAAUAUUAUCAUGGUUGUGAGUACUUCAUCAUGUCAAUGUAUACCUCUUUAGAUAUUUUCAACCCAGUGAAUUCAACACAGGUAAAUGGUUAUGUGGAGUUAGAAGGACUGAGAGGAAACCUGAGACUAGGUUGAUCCCCAGCUUAGUAACUGCUGGGGAGGCUGUCACCCCUAAGGCUGGAGAUGACAGAUUGGAAGCUGUGUUAGCAGGUCCUGAAUCUCAGGAGAGGGAGUCUGGGCUGGACUAUGGUGAUAAAUUUCUUAGUCAAAUACCAACCAAAAUACUGUUAUAAGGUUAUUUUUAAGAUGUACAUAGCAUUUAAAACCAGUAGACUUUAGGCAUUUCACCAUAUGUAGUGUGGAUAGGCUUCAUCUAAUAGUUGAAGGACUUAAGAGAGAAGAUUGAGGUUCCCCCACCCAAACAGAACAGAUUUCCUCCUCUUUAGCUAGCAAUAUAGAAAUCCUAACUUUUGGAUUCAAGACUGCGACAUCAGUUCUUACCCAGAUCUCUUUCCAGCCUGCUGACUUGUGUCUUUCAGAUUUGUCAUUCCAAAACUGUGUGAGCCAAUUCCUUAAAAACCUACAGACCGUGUACUCAUGAACCAAUAAUGUUACAAAUACUUCAGGGAGAAAAACAAACCAGAAUAACAUAGAAUGCCUUCAUCAUCUAUUGACAAAUUGGAAGGCACUUCUUAGAAAACAAGCUUUGGGUCUUACCUCAAGGACACGAGAUCCAAUUGAAGGUUCUGGGCAGCUAACACACCAAGUGACCUUAAAAAAGGUGUAUGCCUACUUUGAGCUUUACUUGCUGGAUAAUCUAGAGAGCCAGCCAAGGAAGUAACUUACCCCGUUCAUCACACUUCUCCUACUUCCACCUCCACACCCCUGCCCUUCACUACCAGAAAAAUUUCCUCGAAUUGAAGACCCUGACAUUAAUCCACACACCUAUGAACAUAUGAUUUUCGACAAAGAAGCCAAAACUGUACCAUGGAAAAAAAGAAAGCAUCUUCAACAAAUGGUGCUGGCAUAACUGGAUGUCAACAUGCAGAAGAUUGCAAAUAGAUCCAUAUCUGUCACCAUGCACAAAACUCAAGUCCAAGUGGAUCAAAGACCUCAACAUAAAUCCAGUUACACUGAUAGAAGAGAAAGUAGGAAGUAGUCUUGAAUGCAUUGGCACAGGAGACCACUUCCUAAAUAUAACACCAGUAGCACAGACACUGAGAGCAACAAUUAAUAAAUGGGACCUCCUGAAACUGAGAAGCUUUUGUAGAGCAAAGAACACGGUCAAUAAGACAAAAUGGCAGCCUACAGAAUGGGAAAAGAUCUUCACCAACCUCACAUUUGACAGAGGGCUAAUAUCCAAAAUAUAUAAAGAACUCAAAAAGCUACACUUCAAAAUACUGAACAAUCCAAUUAAAAAAUGGGCUACAGCGCUUAAUAGAGAAUUCUCAACAGAAGAAUCUCAAAUGUCUGAAAGACAUUUAAAGAAUUACCCAACAUCCUUAGUCAUCAGGAAAAUGCAAAUCAAAACAACUCUGAGAUAACCACCUUACACCUGUCAGAAUGGCUAAGAUCAAAAACACUGAAGACAGCUUAUGUUGGAGAGGAUGUGGAGCAAGGGGAAUACUCCUCCACUGUUGGUGGGAAUGCAAACUUUUACAGCCACCCGGAAAUCAGUAUGGCAGUUUCUCAGAAAAUUGGGAAGAAGUCUUCCUUAGACCCAGCUAUACCACUCUUGGGCAUAUACUCAAGGAAUGCUCAAUCUUACCACAAGGACACAUGCUCAACUAUGUUCAUAUCAGCACUAUUCGUAAUAGCAAUAACCUGGAAACAACCUAGAUGCACCUCAACUGAAGAAUGGAUAAAGAAAAUGUGGCACAUAUACACAAUGGAGUACUACUCAGCAGUAAAAAACAAUGAUAUCAAGAAAUUUGCAGUCAAAUGGAUGGAACUUGAAAAUAUCUUCCUGAGUGAGGCAACCCAGACUCAGAAGGACAAACAUAGUAUGUACUCACUCAUAAGUGGAUGCUAGAUGUGAGGGAAGGAAUGGCCAGACUGUAACCCACAGCUCCAAAGAGGCUAGCUAACAGGGAAAGACCCUAGGAGGGACACAUGGACGACCCUGUGAAGGAGAAGUGGAUGAGAUCUACAUGAGCGGACUGGGUGUGGGUGGGUGGAGGGCAAGGUGUGGGGCAUGAGAACAUAGGGAUAUGGGAGGGUCAAGCUGGA